CGCACCUUCGGGUGAGCGGCGGACGGGUUAGUAACGCGUGGGAAUAUACCCAAAGGUAGGGAAUAGCCUCUGGAAACGGAGAGUAAUACCCUAUGUGCCCUACGGGGGAAAGAUUUAUCGCCUUUGGAUUAGCCCGCGUUGGAUUAGGUAGUUGGUGGGGUAACGGCCUACCAAGCCGACGAUCCAUAGCUGGUUUGAGAGGAUGAUCAGCAACACUGGGACUGAGACACGGCCCAGACUCCUACGGGAGGCAGCAGUGGGGAAUCUUAGACAAUGGGGGAAACCCUGAUCUAGCCAUGCCGCGUGAGUGACGAAGGCCCUAGGGUCGUAAAGCUCUUUCGCCAGGGAAGAUAAUGACGGUACCUGGUAAAGAAACCCCGGCUAACUCCGUGCCAGCAGCCGCGGUAAUACGGAGGGGGUUAGCGUUGUUCGGAAUUACUGGGCGUAAAGCGCACGUAGGCGGGCUGGAAAGUUAGGGGUGAAAUCCCGGGGCUCAACCUCGGAACUGCCUUUAAAACUCCCAGCCUAGAGUUCGAGAGAGGUGAGUGGAAUUCCGAGUGUAGAGGUGAAAUUCGUAGAUAUUCGGAGGAACACCAGUGGCGAAGGCGGCUCACUGGCUCGAUACUGACGC
rnacentral:rRNA from 1 species